ACCAGGCGGAAGAACUGAUAAAUUCAUAGAGUGGGCUAGAUGGGGAGUCCUAUUACCA
rnacentral:tRNA from 1 species